UGAAACCAGGGAUAGAUACCCUGUUAUACUAAAUUAAAAUUAAGUCGCUUGAGUAGUAAAUAGUUAUAUUCUCGAAACUUAAAGGAUUUGGCGGUAUCUUAGUCUUGUUAGAGGAAUCUGUUCUAUAAACGAUAAACCACGAAUUAUCUUACUCUUUUUCGUAAAACAGUUUGUAUACCGCCAUUAUUAGAUGGUUUUUACAAAAAUCCAUUUAAAUAACUUACGAGUUAAUAUAUUAGGUCAAGGUGCAGCCUAUAGAAGAGCAAGCAAUGGAUUACAAUGAAAUAAGUGUAAGACGGAUCAACGAAGGAAGCUUUGUUUUAAAGGUGGAUUUAAUUGUAAUACUUGUUUAAUAAGCAAGUUUGAUAGGGGCUCUAAGAUAUGUACACAUCGCCCGUCG
rnacentral:rRNA from 1 species